AGGGUUUGAUCAUGGCUCAGAUUGAACGCUGGCGGAAUGCUUUACACAUGCAAGUCGAACGGCAGCACGGACUUCGGUCUGGUGGCGAGUGGCGAACGGGUGAGUAAUGUAUCGGAACGUAUCCAGUAAUGGGGGAUAACUAAUCGAAAGGUUGGCUAAUACCGCAUACGCCCUACGGGGGAAAGCAGGGGAUCUUCGGACCUUGCGUUAAUGGAGCGGCCGAUAUCUGAUUAGCUAGUUGGUGAGGUAAGAGCUCACCAAGGCGACGAUCAGUAGCUGGUCUGAGAGGACGACCAGCCACACUGGAACUGAGACACGGUCCAGACUCCUACGGGAGGCAGCAGUGGGGAAUUUUGGACAAUGGGCGCAAGCCUGAUCCAGCCAUUCCGCGUGAGUGAAGAAGGCCUUCGGGUUGUAAAGCUCUUUCGCAAGGGAAGAAACGAUGCAGACGAAUAAUCUGUGUUAAUGACGGUACCUUGAUAAGAAGCACCGGCUAACUACGUGCCAGCAGCCGCGGUAAUACGUAGGGUGCAAGCGUUAAUCGGAAUUACUGGGCGUAAAGCGUGCGC
rnacentral:rRNA from 1 species